rnacentral:rRNA from 1 species
GAUCCUGGCUCAGGACGAACGCUGGCGGCGCGCCUAACACAUGCAAGUCGAACGAGGCGAGAGAAAGUCUUUGCUUUCUCGAGCGAGUGGCGAACGGGUGAGUAACGCGUGAGGAACCUGCCUCAAAGAGGGGGGACAACAGUUGGGAAACGACUGCUAAUACCGCAUAAGCCCACGGCUCGGCAUCGAGCAGAGGGAAAAGGAGCAAUCCGCUUUGAGAUGGGCCUCGGCGUCCGAUUAGCUAGG